rnacentral:rRNA from 1 species
GACGAACGCUGGCGGCGUGCUUAACACAUGCAAGUCGAACGGUAAGGCCCUUCGGGGUACACGAGUGGCGAACGGGUGAGUAACACGUGGGUGAUCUGCCCUGCACUUCGGGAUAAGCCUGGGAAACUGGGUCUAAUACCGGAUAGGACUCCUGCCUGCAUGGGUGGGGGUGGAAAGCUUUUGUGGUGUGGGAUGGGCCCCCGGCCUAUCAGCUUGUUGGUGGGGUGAUGGCCUACCAAGGCGACGACGGGUAGCCGGCCUGGGAGGGUGACCGGCCACACUGGGACUGAGAUACGGCCCAGACUCCUACGGGAGGCAGCAGUGGGGAAUAUUGCACAAUGGGCGCAAGCCUGAUGCAGCGACGCCGCGUGAGGGAUGACGGCCUUCGGGUUGUAAACCUCUUUCAGCACAGACGAAGCGCAAGUGACGGUAUGUGCAGAAGAAGGACCGGCCAACUACGUGCCAGCCGCCGCGGUAA